rnacentral:rRNA from 1 species
ACCCAAUAGAUACCCAGGUAGUCCACGCCCUAAACGAUGCGAACUGGAUGUUGGUCUCAACUCGGAGAUCAGUGUCGAAAGCUAACGCGUUAAGUUCGCCGCCUGGGGAGUACGGUCGCAAGACUGAAACUCAAAGGAAUUGACGGGGGCCGCACAAGCGGUGGAGUAUGUGGUUUAAUUCGAUGCAACGCGAAGAACCUUACCUGGCCUUGACAUGUCCGGAAUCCUGCAGAGAUGCGGGAGUGCCUUCGGGAAUCGGAACACAGGUGCUGCAUGGCUGUCGUCAGCUCGUGUCGUGAGAUGUUGGGUUAAGUCCCGCAACGAGCGCAACCCUUGUCCUUAGUUGCCAGCGAGUAAUGUCGGGAACUCUAAGGAGACUGCCGGUGACAAACCGGAGGAAGGUGGGGUAUGACGUCAAGUCCUCAUGGCCCUUACGGCCAGGGCUACACACGUACUACAAUGGUCGGUACAGAGGGUUUGCAAUACCGCGAGGUGGAGCCAAUCCCAGAAACGCCGAUCCCAGUCCGGAUUGGAGU